rnacentral:rRNA from 1 species
UGGGGAAUAUUGGACAAUGGGGGGAACCCUGAUCCAGCCAUGCCGCGUGUGUGAAGAAGGCCUUAUGGUCGUAAAGCACUUUAAGCGAGGAGGAGGGUACUGGUAUUAAUACUACCAGGUACUGGACGUUACUCGCAGAAUAAGCACCGGCUAACUCUGUGCCAGCAGCCGCGGUAAUACAGAGGGUGCGAGCGGUAAUCGGAUUUACUGGGCGUAAAGCGUGCGUAGGCGGCUAAUUGAGUCGGAUGUGAAAUCCCCGAGCUUAACUUGGGAAUUGCAUUCGAUACUGGUUAGCUAGAGUGUGGGAGAGGAUGGUAGAAUUCCAGGUGUAGCGGUGAAAUGCGUAGAGAUCUGGAGGAAUACCGAUGGCGAAGGCAGCCAUCUGGCCUAACACUGACGCUGAGGUACGAAAGCAUGGGGAGCAAACAGG